UCUUUUACUCUCAUUCUGUCCAAGCAUCAGGUUGACGCGUACCCGACGCAGCCGCCAGUAGACGGUCUUUUCGGUCAACAAUUGCAAAACCCUAGAAUGCAUUUUUAAGCCGCAGACACACACCUAUAUAAACAAGUUAGUUCCGUCUAUAUAUAUAGCGAACCAAACGAUACUCGUAGAUAUCUCUCGUGGGGGAAGUGACGAGCAACUAUGGUGUGUUCAGAUUCAAUAUCGUGGGGGAAGUGACGAGCAACUAUAGUCUUCAAAACCCUAGAAUGCAUUCGGUCUAUAUAGCGAACCAACUGAUAUUCGGUCUAUAGUGUUGAGCAACUUCAUACCGAUGAUAUUGUCCGUCUCUAAAAUGCAUUUUCAAGUGGCGGCAUAUCUAGCUCAGUUGUUCUUGUCAUGGGAGUAAUAACGUCAUUCCGGAGUGUAAUAAUAAUGAUAAUGUCUAUUUAGCGAUGAUUUUGUGGUUCUUAUAUAUCUGUGUGUGUGUGUGUGUUUGACUCUCCUUUCAGCUGCAAUGGCAUAGAUUUGAUGAUCUGUUUCUUGGUCUUUCUUGGUUGCUUUGUUCUGGAGGCAUAUAUUCAAUCCCCCAAAGUUUUAGGUGUUUAUUAUUAACUAGAGUUGUUUUUGCUACUUUGGUCUCCUCCCCUUCUUUGGUAAAUUUCCAUACUAGAUUAUUUUUCUUUUCUUUGUUA